rnacentral:rRNA from 1 species
UACGGGGGGGGGCAAGCGUUGUUCGGAAUUACUGGGCGUAAAGGGCUCGUAGGCGGCCAACUAAGUCGGACGUGAAAUCCCUCGGCUUAACCGGGGAACUGCGUCCGAUACUGGAUGGCUUGAGUGUGGGAGAGGGAUGCGGAAUUCCAGGUGUAGCGGUGAAAUGCGUAGAUAUCUGGAGGAACACCGGUGGCGAAGGCGGCAUCCUGGACCACGACUGACGCUGAGUGAGCGAAAGCCAGGGGAGCAAACGGG